ACCAUCGACUGUUUCCACCGCGGAAGAAGGGCAUUUCCUCGCCCUUUCCACCUCUGAGCAAAACUUCAUCCAGCUGGUUCUUGUACUCAUGGCGGUCAAAGAGGGUUAAAUCCCGUGGUCUACAUAUACUUGGGGGAAUCUCUUGCAAACAAGUUGGAAAAGUUGACGGAUCUUUCCCAGUCGCAGUCGAAACGGAGCGUCUCCAGUACAAUGGUUAUAUACAUCCAUGAAAGCUAAACUGACGUCAGAGCAAGUACAUAAACUGCCUGUAAAAUUAGACAAGCUCUGGAGUGAUAGCUGGCCAGCCAAAUGGAUCUUACGCACAGCAAGGAACCGAUGGUCUUUGUGCCACCUUACAGCUCCAGAGCCCUGUGUUUGAUCUUGGCAUUGAAUUACUGUCGGUGUGGAGUUACCCAUGUCCUCUGCAUAUGUGGAGUGCAGUAGACAUACUGCCCUCAAAAUAAAGCCGGUACUGAGACAGAA